AUUGAACGCUGGCGGCAGGCCUAACACAUGCAAGUCGAGCGAGCGGCGGACGGGUGAGUAAUGUCUGGGAAACUGCCUGAUGGAGGGGGAUAACGACUGGAAACGGUAUCUAAUACCGCAUACCAUCAGAUGUGCCCAGAUGGGAUUAGCUAGUAGGUGGGGUAACGGCGCACCUAGGCGACGAUCCCUAGCUGGUCUGAGAGGAUGACCAGCAACACGGGAACGGAGACAAGGUCCAGACUCCGACGGGAGGCAGCAGGGGGGAAUAGUGCACAUGGGGAGAAAGCCUGAUGCAGCCAUGCCGCGUGUAUGAAGAAGGCCUUCGGGUUGUAAAGCACUUUCAGCGGGGAGGCGUUACCCGCAGAAGAAGCACCGGCUAACUCCGUGCCAACAGCCGCGGUAAUUC
rnacentral:rRNA from 1 species